rnacentral:rRNA from 1 species
UCGGGAAUUUUGGGCAAUGGGCGAAAGCCUGACCCAGUAACGCCGCGUGAAGGAUGAAGUAUUUCGGUAUGUAAACUUCGAAAGAAUAGGAAGAAUAAAUGACGGUACUAUUUAUAAGGUCCGGCUAACUACGUGCCAGCAGCCGCGGUAAUACGUAGGGACCAAGCGUUGUUCGGAUUUACUGGGCGUAAAGGGCGCGUAGGCGGCAAUUCAAGUCAUCUGUGAAAUCUCCGGGCUUAACUCGGAACGGUCAGAUGAUACUGCUUUGCUAGAGUGCAGAAGGGGCAAUCGGAAUUCUUGGUGUAGCGGUGAAAUGCGUAGAUAUCAAGAGGAACACCUGAGGUGAAGACGGGUUGCUGGGCUGACACUGACGCUGAGGCGCGAAAGCCAGGGGAGCAAACGGGAUUAGAUACCCAAGUAGUCCCUGAGCGGGCUGGCAAGGCGCAU